UAAUUAAUUGCGAACCGUGUCUCGGGAGCGUUAGAGAUGGAGACUAACGUCUUCCAAGGGAGAUUGCGUCUUCACUUUCACCCUGGUACUGAGAGGCACAAAAUUGGUAACCAAUGCUGCGCUUCCAGCAAAUUUUCCCACCAGCACCCAAUCCUGGGAUAUUUAUUCUCUUUGUCUCACAUCCUACAGGAACGCAGUCGCGGGGUAUAUCCCCCUGAAAACCGUACGUUGCCAAAUAAUGAUUUCUUUGGAUUAGAGAACUACAACUCCCCUGGGUCCUGAGCCGGUAUUUCCCUCUUGCGGCUGCACCGUAGUUAAAAACAAAGCUACGUGUUCUGGGACGUAUAGUUCUAGCGUUCCUUGGGUCCCGCUGGCGAGCGUGGGCUUUCUGCAGCUGGCAACCGGCCUCGUGCUUUGCGGACGGUUCACUGCGCUUGGAAAGGGAUUGGCCUGGGGUACAUCAUCUAAAGAUCCUAGGAUUGCUGCAGGUCAGCAGUCUCCACUGGAAAAAAAGAUCUUGAAUCUAGGUGGUGUGCAUACAACAGCAGCAAGACAGUUGAUAAUUCAGAAAUAUCAGGAGGAGUGUGAAAUACUCUGUAGGGAGCAAGCUGUUUCUCUUGACUACUGGCUUGCCAAAGCAGAGUCUUAUUAUAAUAAAAUAAUAGUGGAAAUGAUGAAAGAAGAGACAGGCAAUGAAAUCAAGAAAAAAAUGGAGGAGAAAACAACCCAAAGCGUAGAAGGACUAAAACAGUACUGUUUGGUACCUGAGAGAGAGAUGAAACACAUAGAAAGGCACAUACAUCAAACAGGAAAGGCUGGAGAAUUUAAGAACAAAUCAUUUAGACAAGUACUACAACCCCCCAAUGAAACAAAAUUACCAAAAAUUAUGCCAGAAGGGCAUGGCAUCCAGAACGCACAGAGAAGAAAGCAGGUAAAUGAGAGGGAACAGAUGCAGACUAAGGAUCACCAGGAACGCAUGAUUCGAGGGAGAGAACUUGCAGAACAAAGACUCAAGGAGAGAAUCUUCAGAAGAAGCCAGAGCCAGCUACUUACAUAUGAGAAGCAUGAGAGAGUAAAAGAGAUAAAGGAGUUUGAAAGAGUUAUUGCAUAUCCUCUUUUCCAACCAUGCAGUAGAAGUCGGAUUAAACAUGUAUUUCAAGUCCUCUGAUGAAUUAUGUGAUCUACUAGACCCUGAAGAUACAGUGAAGAGCAAAAGUAAGAUGCUGGCAAUUUGAUGUUUGCACUGUCAUGAAGGAGAUGCACAUUUAGCAGAACUUACAAAGAGAAAUAUAAAAUUACUGCUGAGCUAAGUGUGGUGAAGAAAAGUUCAUGGUACCAUGAAAGCAGAUAACCAGGAGAUCUAACAGGUCCACUACCACUAUUCUCAAUAAUACCUAAAAGAAAUAAUAAGAUAUGGCAUUUAUAAAUGAUGAAUAGGAUUUUAUAAAAUUAUAUACAAUCAGAGAACCAAAAAGCACUCUUGGAAAUCAAAAAGUGAUCAUUUAAAUAAGUAUUUCAAUAGAUCACUUGGAAGAGUAAAUUUGUACUACCACUAAAUAUUAAAAAUGGAAAAACAAUGUCAAGAAAGACAGAAGAACUAUACGAAUACUAGGCUAUCAGUCAAGGAUUUCCAGCAACUUAAUAAUACAAAUUCUAAAAGAAUGGAAAGAUAGAAAUUAUUUAAAAUAAAAAAAUUUCUCC
rnacentral:sRNA from 1 species